rnacentral:rRNA from 1 species
UACAGAGGUCUCAAGCGUUGUUCGGAUUCAUUGGGCGUAAAGGGUGCGUAGGCGGCGCGGUAAGUCGGGUGUGAAAUCUUGGAGCUUAACUCCGAAACUGCAUUCGAUACUGCCGUGCUUGAGGACUGGAGAGGAGACUGGAAUUUACGGUGUAGCGGUGAAAUGCGCAGAUAUCAGGAGGAACACCGGUGGCGAAGGCGGGUCUCUGGGCCGUAACUGACGCUGAGGAGCGAAAGCGUGGGGAGCAAACAGG